UUUUAGAGUAUAUUAUAUGGGUUUAGAGUAUGUUUUAAAGUGUUUUCAGGUUCAGGUACGUUUUGGAGAACUUUGGUGAUUUUGGAGCCUUUUGAGGUACAAAACUAUACAGACGUGUCAGAUGUUUAGUUAUGUAAGGAGACCUUCCUAUGGUGAGAUUAAUCUGAUCUUUUGACAAAAGAUAGAUCUUUGAGUUAGUGUUCCAAUGCCACCGGUUUGAGGUCAAUCCAACGGUUAGAUCAGAAGUUAUACCCGCUUUACUGAAGAGUGGUCAGUCUGUCUCACGAGAGAAAGCUGUCGAGGAGAUGGGAACGUCGAUCAAAGACACAGCCUUGGUGUCGAUCGACGGUAAUGCCAGAACGUGGGCCGAGUAUAUUUUAAGACUGACUAAAGCCCAUAAGCAACCAUAAAUUACCAAGAUGCCUUUGGACGACUCAAAACCUAUUUAUGUGUGUUUCUAAGCCAUUGUUGACGGCUACGCUUUCUAUAUUUUCUAUUCUAUUGUUUUAGGCUUUCUCUUAGGUUAGGAGAGAAGAGAGGAAAUCCUUCAGAGUCCUCAUGGAACUCCUGUGGUUUCAUCAUUGAUUUCUAUUUUUCUAUGGUUUUUUUGUGACAACUAUCAUGUUUGAAUAAAUCCAUCUGCUAGGUUUAGGGUUAAUUAAGGUUCUUGAUGGAUUUGCUAAAACUAUAGAAUUGUUAGGGUGAUAAUUAGAUAUCCUUCAAUAUAAUUGUUCUUACUGCUUGUGU
rnacentral:lncRNA from 1 species